rnacentral:rRNA from 1 species
UAGCCCAGAGAAAUUUGGAUUAAUACCCCAUGGUAUUAUUGAUCGGCAUCGGUCGGUAAUUAAAGAUUCAUCGGUAAAAGAUGAGUAUGCGUUCUAUUAGCUAGUAGGUGUGGUAACGGCACACCUAGGCAACGAUAGAUAGGGGCCCUGAGAGGGGGAUCCCCCACACUGGUACUGAGACACGGACCAGACUCCUACGGGAGGCAGCAGUGAGGAAUAUUGGACAAUGGGCGAGAGCCUGAUCCAGCCAUGCCGCGUGCAGGAAGACGGCCCUAUGGGUUGUAAACUGCUUUUAUACAGGAAGAAACACCCCCUCGUGAGGGGGCUUGACGGUACUGUAAGAAUAAGGAUCGGCUAACUCCGUGCCAGCAGCCGCGGUAAUACGGAGGAUCCAAGCGUUAUCCGGAAUCAUUGGGUUUAAAGGGUCCGUAGGUGGAUGAUUAAGUCAGAGGUGAAAUCCUGCAGCUCAACUGUAGAAUUGCCUUUGAUACUGGUCAUCUUGAAUUAUUAUGAAGUAGUUAGAAUAUGUAGUGUAGCGGUGAAAUGCAUAGAUAUUACAUAGAAUACCAAUUGCGAAGGCAGAUUACUAAUAAUAUAUUGACACUGAUGGACGAAAGCGUGGGGAGCGAACAGGAUUAGAUACCCUGGUAGUCCACGCCGUAAACGAUGGUUACUAGCUGUUCGAACUUCGGUUUG